GAGGAGAGUGAGCCUCGGGUGAACAAAGGGAAGCUUCACGCGUUCGGCUGCGGUGGUUUCGUGGUGGAGAGCAGGAAGGGGACCGGUGACUUGCAUCUGCCUCCUGGCUACUGGAAAAUGUGCAUCCAUGAAACAGAUCACCAAAGGAGAAUAAUGGAAGGAAUUUCCAGUGUGGUCAGCUGUAUAGCUCACAUUAGAGUGGGAAGAUAGAAAACUUGGGUUCGACAGACAAAGAGAGGAGGCUGUUUUACUUGAGCCUCAGGAGAACAGAGUCCAUCAGAGGAAGUUGAAGCCACAACAGACCUGACUGGUGAGAGCUGGUGCAACUGACAAGAGUCACUCAGAGGCUGGAGCAGAUAAUGAAAGAGCUAAAUAUCCCGGCUUUUUCCUUUCUCUCAUGUUCUGAACUGCCUCCAGUUCCUUUCAUUGACUGAACCAAGUUGCCAGCUAACUUGAAGAAGAUGCAACCUGUGGGGCUUAUCCCUGCUGCAAUACUGAGCAAAGAAGGUAAAAGUGGCCUGCUGGUUCUUCAAAGUUUUGUCUUCGACAAGCUUUUCAUUCCAUGUGAUCAAAGGAGAGGGAUUGUGGGGUGGAAGAGAUUCAGACUUUAAAAAACAAAUGACCUCAACAUACAUGUGUUUCAGAUGAUGUAGCUACAGGAAGAGAGGAGCCUGCAUCUCUAAAUAGCUAUUUGGAGAAGACCUGCCCUGGAGAAUCACCGGACUCCACUGGAAUAUAAUAUGUUUCAGAAAUAAACCUUCUUGUAUUCAACUACUAAGAUGUUUACAUAGCUAAUUACAACAGUUUUAAUUACUCUGAUUAAUGCAAAGAUAAAGUAAAUAUUUUAUACAAUUUUUCUUAAGUUAAAACAACAUGUAAGUACUGAUAUUUUAAUAUACAUUAAUCUUGAGACAGCUGUUUCAAGAUGCCCCUUGCAACCAUUUCUUACAUGAAGGUAUGAUUCAUUUGUUUGAAGGACCAUCUCAAUAUAUCUUGGGCUAUCACCAUCCCACAGAAAAGCAGUACAUCCACACUAGUAAGACCUGAUAAAAAAUACUACUUCUGUAAUGGCCUUCCUGGAAGGGACUUGAAAUAUAGGUCCAGAUUCACUGUGGGACAAAAUGACACAGCAUGACAUGUUGAGGGAACUACACAAGCAAAGAUAAAAAGAUGAAUACUUGGAGACAAUAAAGGAACUACACUUCAUCAACACAUUUCUCCAGGAAAGUCCUGGGAAGAAAAUUUAGAUUAAUAGAUUAUAGGCACUUCAUGGAGGACCUUGAGUAUUUGAAUAUGGAAUGAAAAUUAGUAGACAGUGGGAAAUCAAAAUAUUUUUGGACAAGGUGGUGUUAUGAUAGCUGUGCUUUGGAAAAUUAAUUUGUCAAUUGAAUUGAUUGCAUAAGGAGAGGGUAAAAUGUUGAGACAGAGUGGGAUGUUAUUGCAAUUAUUUAGGCAAGAAUUAAUGAGGAAACUGGAAAUUAAAUAAUGAAUUAAUGUAAUAUUGAGGAAAUAAAAUUCAUAGUGUUUGAUAACUGAGUGUCUGUUGAAGGCAUUAGAUAUAAAAAGUGAAAGAGUAUCAAACUUUUUUCCUUAAAAAAAUCAAGUAGUUUGGAGAGAAAAUAUUCUGAGUACACUUCUUAAUAUACUGACUUCCAUAAAGAUGAAUUAAAAUCUAUCUUAGAUACAAUAAAAAAAAAUUCCCAGUACAGUUCAUGCAUUAAAUGUUUUAAAAAG